rnacentral:rRNA from 1 species
CCUACCCUGUGCUAGAAGGUCAAAAGGAGAAGUGUUAGCUGCUUUGAAUGGAAACCUGGUAAGCAGUGGCAAUAACUUUAGCUGUCCUAAGGUAAUGAAAUUCCUUGUCAUAGGAGUAACAAACGG